GGAAGUGGGAGCUGAUGAGUGAAAAGAAAAAAAAGUCUUUGGAUCUUUAUUCUGCUAAUUAGUUUCCUGCAAAAAAUGGCUGUGAUUAAUUCAGUGCGCAUGUGCUUCAUUACCCAGGCACGACGGGAAGGGCUAAUUAGCCACCUUCUGGAUCAAUAAGAUUCAGCAAAAAAGAAAAGGGGGAGGUGGAGGGAGGCAGAGGGGAGGAAGGGAGGAAAAAAAAAAAAACCAGGGGAAAGUGAUGAGCAGGGCAAGGAGAGCAGGAAGAGAGGAUGGGAGAAGAGCCUAGGAAGAGGGAGAGAGGCACCAAAAGUUUAUGCAUGUAUUAAAAACACAUACACACACGACACGCGCGCGCACACACACAUACACACACACACACACACACACACACACACACUGAGAAGUGAAAUGCAGAGAAGCAACAAUAGGGACCUAGCUAAGAUUUUUUUUUUUAAGAUUUUUCCUUUCUUUUUUUCUUUCUCUUUUCCUUCUUUCUUGUAAUUUCCUUUCCCCCUCUUUUCUUUUUUCUUUUUUUUUUUAAGCAAAUGCAACAAUGCUUAAAUUAAUAGGAAAAGAACAUCUUCAAAGAAGAGGGGGGUGGGUAAUAAUGGAGUGGGACAGCUUAAAGCAAAGGUUUAAGUGAAAGACCAGAGGCUUAGAAUAGAGGCCACUUUAAAUUGCAAAUCCGUGAUUUUUAAACGGAGGAAAAUUACCUCCCCCCAAACCAGAGGAGGAAUGAAGAAAAUAUGGGAGAAACUUUAACACAUACCAUAGACUAUACAAAAAAAAUAUAAUAUGUUAAUUUUCUCUUCCGAAAUAAGACGCAAUCAAUCUUCUCUGGUUCUUUAGAAGAAGAGGGAAAGAGGGGCGAAGGGGAUGAUGAUUAGAAGAAAUGAAAGGGAGAAAGUGAAUCAGAACUUAAAGGGGGGCCACUUUAGGAAAGACAAGAAAAGGAAAAGUUGCAUUUAGAAACAAGUCCAACUUUCUACCUUUCUGUACUUAAGAAAAAAGUAAAAUCAAUUUUUUUGUGUGUGUGUAAAACCUGGAAAGCAGAUGUUUUCAAAACACAGGAAGCUAUUUUGUCAUCAAAAGCAGGGAUGUAAUAAAGGCAGUGAAAAAUAAUUUCAGACUAAAUUCAUAAGAAAGAAAGCCAAUAUAUUUAAAUAGCGAGGAAAGGUCUAGUGUGUAGAAAGAGGGGAAAUUACAUACCCCUUCCCUAAUGCGGGGGGGAAAAAAGUCUUACAGCUACCUCCAAGAGUUUGGAACAGAGUCUCAAAGCCAAAGGGCUUGAAAUAAGAGGAUGGAUUUCAGAUAAAGACUAGGAGCGAUACAUCCCACCAGAGCCCAAAGGAGAUCCCUGGAAUCAAAGACAGCAGCCAGGGACCCUGCUACUGUACCGAUUCCCAGUACAUCAAAGCCGUCACUUAGGCUGGUGCAUGGUACCUCCAAAAAGCAAGCAAACAAAUGCAGGAAGAACAGUCUCUCUCUCUCUCUCUCUCUCUCUCUCUCUCUCUCUCUCUCUCUCUCUCUCUCUCUCUCUCUCCCCUACUUUCAAAUCCUAGCCUUAGCGUCACUGCUACUGCAAUAGAUUUUUUUUAAUGACAACUGUGUAUUUAUGUAAGUUCUAAAUAUGAACUAGUACCACUGAAAUUACAAUGUCUAGAAUAAAAUAAAAUGCAAUCUGCACUUUUGGUGAUCUUCAAACAAAUGUAAAAACAACAUUUAUGUUUUUGAAAGCAUUGGUAACAUCAGGUAGAGAGGAUGAAUGCGCUAAAACUUAUUUUUAUCGGGGGAAAUUUUUUUUUUUUUUUGCACCAGCCUACCACAAUUACUUAUCUGAGAAGGAAUUUGGGAACUAAUCAGGAAAUCUGUUUGAUUAGAAAGUAAUUCUUCAUUUUGAGAGCUUUUCCAAUGCUCUUAAAAGCAUGCAAGACUAGGGGGAGAAACCGGUUUGGGAUUUUGCAGUUACCUCAUCUAAUCCUUCUGAAUUCACUCUGGGGAUAAUGCUUUUUUAUUUAAGGGGGAAGGGGGGGGGAAGGAAAAUACACUUAGAAAAAUCGGGGGUUUCCUCUCCAUGAGCCAAAUCUGGGUUGCCAUUCAAACUUUUCCUGGCUGCUUUUCCAUACGGGACAGCUGAUCAAUAAAGCCAAGUCCAGCCUGGCUUGCUACAGGUUUCACCAGUCAGUGCUUGCAAAACCUUUGUCAUUUUCUAAAAAUAAAAAAGCUAAAAGUUAUUGUAGAAGAAGGGGCUUUUUUUUGUCCCCUGCACAAUGUGUCUUUUGUGAGGUUAAUGCCAUUCUGGGCUCUCGAUAGCCCUGGACAAUGGGAACCCUCCAGGAGCUUGCAAAGACUCUGGCUUUUUUCUUUCUUGCCUUUUUUUUUUUUUUUUUUUUUUUUUUAAGGGAAGGAUGAAACAUUCCUACAGUCCAAAUACAACCUCUACUUUGAUUAAAUAAAUAUUUAUCUUUAUUGUAGCCAUUGUAUAUUUUUACCUUCAGUUUGUCUGGUUUCUGAUUAUUAUUUUAUAUUUUUCAUUGGCAACAUUUAAUCUUUUUUUUUUUCCCUUUCAGUUCAAAGUACAGGUCAGUGUAAAAUGUAGCUGACUGAAGGAAGACUGGUAAAUUCUGAAUUUUUCCAUAAUACAUCAGCAGUGCUCCGGCUGGCCGGCCGUGCCCCCAGGCUCGCAGCACCCCACAGUCUCGCCCUUUUGUGGUCUCUGCAUGGACUCCAAGGUGCUGCGCUGAGGAAGCUGGCUACUCGCAUUGCCGCGGUCAGAGGCGCCGUUGCCGCUUGCCUCUGAGCGCGCGGGGAGGAAGGGGUUAAGCUGCCCGAGCCGGGCGAAGGGGCUGUGCUCAUCCCAGAGCGAGGUGCAGCCACCGGCAGCUGUGAUUUAGGGGUCAAGUCCGAGAUCACCUUUCUCAUGCCUCUGGAAAUGGCAGAAGAUGAGGUAGGGAGGGAGAAACAGGAGUGAGCAGCAGCCAGGCGCAGCACGUGGCGCUCCAUCCAUCCGACCCCCCCUUGUCCCAGCCCACCCCUUGACCCCCAGACAAAUCAGAUAGUUCCCUUUGCUAUUAGGGGUGUGGGGUGCGGUUCCUCUGAGUGUCCGCAAUUACUCCAUUUACCGCGGCUCUGUUCUAUGGUUAGACCGAUGUGCCCCGACCCUCAACCAUCAAAUCAGAAAGUUUGCUCUCAGUGCGCUAGGGUGUGAGCAGCUGGGUGUGUGUGAAAACUGUCCCCCAUUUAUAAGAAACAGGAGUGCCUCUGUCAGGAGGAGGAAGUUUGGAUGUUGGUGCUAGCCCCUCAUCCUGGAGUCUUGCACCUCACAAUCCUAAACUCAUGUACACAGUGGUGUUCAUUACAUGCAGCUUCUUGCUUUUUAUGCUUAUGUUCUCCUUCAAGAACUUUCUCUCCCCCAACUAAGGCAGUCUGGAAAAUACUUUUGUCAAAAUAUUUUUCAUGUCUGAAAGAUAACCAAAAACCAAAAUCA